UCAACCCUCCUGACAAAAGUGGGGCCUGACCUGGAUGCUCAAGUGAGGACUGAAUUGACCCUCUGACCUUCAGCAGGAACAUUUUGCUAUGGAAAAUGAGGUGAUGGGAAUGCAGGUCAAAUGUUGAGUUCAGCUGUGGUGCUGUAAAUCCACUAAGUUCAGUGUUGCUCCUUAAAGCUUACAGUCAUGGGAAAGCAGAAAUUAUGCACCAUGUUGUUUUUUCAGCCUUUGCCCCCUAUUUAUUAUGGAAAAGCCAUAAAACAAAGACAGAGGACAGGAGAAGUCUGCCUAGGGAACAGUAAUUUUUCAGGAAGAAUUUGUAUCUUGGCUUUUCACAUAUUUUGGUGUUUCCAGCUUUGGGGGAAAGGGGAUGGUUUGGAUCCAUUUUUACUGUAGUGAGAACACCACCACUGUAGGAUGAGAUGUUCUCCCCUGCCAACGGAUGGUAGAAACAAUCAGGAGGAAUGCAGGGCUUGACUCCUGCCUCAGGACUCAUCAAUACUAUCUGUUUUCCUCUCCAGAGGUAUAACUCCAGGAUUUUAGAGUGGGAGAAUUAGGAACAGGCAGAGCCAGGGGUUAGGUCAGGAAUUCCAGGCCAACCACUCCCUCAGCCCAGACACAUUUUGAAUUGCAAUGGUAUUAACAGAGGAGUGUCAGGAGUUUUCAGUGGUUAAAGGUGAGAAGUGCCACAACUGUGAAUUCAGUGAUUCCCAGACACAGCUGAGGAGCAGCUCUGGUACCUCAGAGCCCCACACUGGAAGAAAUGUCUUAAUGAUGGCAGAGGAGCCAUCAUCAGCAAGGCUUGGCGCUGGAGUGUUUGAUUUAAUAAGCUGGCUCAUGAUGUGAGUCAGUUCCCAAAGAGCUGUUGUAGGCCAGAAAAGGUGAUUUUGCUGCCUUAGCACUGGCACUGCCACAGCAGUGGGCAGCAGCUCGUUACAGCACAGACAAUGUUGGGCAGCAGAAGGAUUUGUGUUAGAGCCCACAGCCAAGCUCAGGUUGAAGAUCCUCUUCUUUCACUGCCUCGUUCAUCAAUAAUUGUUCAUCUCCUUUCACUACCUCAUUCAUCAAUAAGCUUGUUGGAAUCUGAUAGGUCCAUUUGAAGGAAAUGCCCAAAUGGCUUUUGGAAAAGAAGCUAUCAUGUGAUUAUUAGCUUUUGGAAAGAUUUGUUUUAUUCUUGAAGUCCUCUGCUUCUAUUGUCUGCCCAAACUUGGAGAUGGAAUAGACCUCUCGCUGGUGUUGGACACUGUGACAUGUGGGAAGGUGAGCCUACCUCACCUUUUUUUGUUCUCACCCCACCACAGCUCAUGCUGCUGGUAAGAGACUUGAGCUUAGUUGUGUCCUGCUUGCUGUCUGGUUUAGGGAAUAAAACACGUAAUUAAAAAUUCUCAUGAUGCUCAGAUGCUUUCCUUCUACAGGUGACCCACAGAGAGGAAUGAUGCUGGGUCUGGAGCCCACAGGGGGGAGAUGCCAGUGACAGAAAUGUGGAUGGUUCUUCUGGUGCACAAGGUGUAAUGUGCCAGCCUAAACCCUCACCCACCAUCUCCCUGAGCUUGCAGCUGCUUGCUCAGGUGGGCACCUCCCUAUGAUGGUCCCCAACCUAUCCUGAGACCCCAGUGCCAUGGGAAAGCACCACUUCAGCAGUUCACUUUAUAUCCCAACCCCACAGACUGGGAGACAGCGACCCUUGCCUGCCUCUGCUUUCCUCUCUGCCCUUUACAAAAUACAUUCAGACUUGGAGAUAAAACUUAGAGUACAAGAUGCAGCAGAUAAAUUUUCCAGAGUGUUUCAGCUUUAGCAGCCAGUGCAGCAGUUAAUGAAGUGUGUCACAAGGCAUUGCAGCUGAUGCCUGUAUUUAUGAGCUCUACUGAAACUCCUCUGAGCAGGGACUGCUUCUUUUUAUUUUUUUUCCCCAGCACUUGUACAGCACCAGCACCACAGGGCAUCACCACAGACCUUGGUCCAAGGUACAUCAAGAUUUAAAAGUAAUAAUUAACUCUAAUCCCAGGCUAUAAGGCAGCAUGGUUUUGCAGAGGAGGAGUUUGGAGAAAGCACAUAGAUGGAGAAUUUGGAGGAGACAAUACACAAGGCAACACAGCAGAUGUUCUGUGAAGUCUUGAUUUUCUGCUUAGUGAUUUUUUAAGGUUUAAUGAAAAAAUUAUUAAUGAAAUAGUAAACACUUCAAAUUGCCAUAACAGUUCACUACUUAAAAAACUAUACUUGUUUUGUAAUGAUUUAAGUACACAUCUUUUUCAUCAAGUAAGAAAAGCUCAUUAAUUAAACAUACUGGAUUUCAAAGCCCUCAAUGUUUAAUUAUUUGUUUAACAAGCAGUACAUCUAAUCCACCAUUCAGACACACAAACAACUAAAACAACAGGAAGACUCUUCAAAGCAGGACAAUCAACAUCUGGAAAAGUCAACAGACUGUGCCUGUAUUGUCAGUAACACAUAAAGCAAAUGUUCCACUGGUAGAACAAAUACACAGAGGAAGCACCUCAGAGAUCAUCCUGCUGAUUCCUGCUCAACAAAGCAUCUUUCUUGCCCUCAGAACAGACUCAUCACAGUAAGGGAGCUUGUUCCUGUUUGAUUUCCCCAAUUUCUUUCCAUUCUUCAACUGAAUCAAGUCUGAUGCACAGAGGGCACUAUGAAAUUUCUGCCCUCCAUCUGUACCUACUCUUCCUUUUGCUCCAUGUGGGGAGUUUUGGCACCAGGUCAGAGAUCCAUGAGCCAGGAGAGAGCAGGGGAGCAGACAACCAGUCAUCUUGCUAAAGCCAUUUGAAAUCUUUUCUGUACUCCAGAGAUGACAAACAAAAUGACCUGGUGGUUCCCUUUGGCCUGCCUGGGAGUGUGCAGAGCCCUCCUGACUGUUCCACCCUAGAAGAGUGCUCCAAGAGAAUGCAGGUGGCUGAGCAGGGAGCGUUGCCCCGCAGGCUGCCGCAGCACCAGCCCAGCUUCUCACACUGCACAAUCCAGAUGUGAGCCUUGGGUAGCUCUGUGCUCGAGCAAACAAUCAAAUCAAUUAAUUUUGGGAAAGACAGACCUAAUUCUUCACUGCCUACAGUAGUUUAGGCAUCACAAAGAAAAGAUGAAAGCUGGAUCAUGUAAGAACUCUCUUCAUGCUGCUGAGGAAUGUCUUGGGAGAUGGACACAGCUUCCUUUCAAGUUCUCUUCAGAAGGUUCCUCUCCAUGCAGACCACCCAUUGGGGACCCACAUCAAUAACAACAACAACAAAAAAGAAUUUGAAAGACCCAUUUUUCAUCCAAUUUAUUUACAUGUUAAAAUAAACACAAAUUCCCAUCUAGAGCAAAGGCUCACAGUGGGUUCUGUUUAGUCUGUGAGAUUCCUGGCACCAGAAUACAGCAUUUCUCUAUUCCAAAGCAAUCUUGGCACAGAAUUGUUGGUUAUAUAAUUUU